rnacentral:rRNA from 1 species
AUUGAACGCUGGCGGCAGGCCUAACACAUGCAAGUCGAGCGGAAACGAGUUAUCUGAACCUUCGGGGGACGAUAACGGCGUCGAGCGGCGGACGGGUGAGUAAUGCCUAGGAAAUUGCCCUGAUGUGGGGGAUAACCAUUGGAAACGAUGGCUAAUACCGCAUGAUGCCUACGGGCCAAAGAGGGGGACCUUCGGGCCUCUCGCGUCAGGAUAUGCCUAGGUGGGAUUAGCUAGUUGGUGAGGUAAGGGCUCACCAAGGCGACGAUCCCUAGCUGGUCUGAGAGGAUGAUCAGCCACACUGGAACUGAGACACGGUCCAGACUCCUACGGGAGGCAGCAGUGGGGAAUAUUGCACAAUGGGCGCAAGCCUGAUGCAGCCAUGCCGCGUGUAUGAAGAAGGCCUUCGGGUUGUAAAGUACUUUCAGUCGUGAGGAAGGUGGUGUAGUUAAUAGCUGCAUUAUUUGACGUUAGCGACAGAAGAAGCACCGGCUAACUCCGUGCCAGCAGCCGCGGUAAUACGGAGGGUGCGAGCGUUAAUCGGAAUUACUGGGCGUAAAGCGCAUGCAGGUGGUUUGUUAAGUCAGAUGUGAAAGCCCGGGGCUCAACCUCGGAAUAGCAUUUGAAACUGGCAGACUAGAGUACUGUAGAGGGGGGUAGAAUUUCAGGUGUAGCGGUGAAAUGCGUAGAGAUCUGAAGGAAUACCGGUGGCGAAGGCGGCCCCCUGGACAGAUACUGACACUCAGAUGCGAAAGCGUGGGGAGCAAACAGGAUUAGAUACCCUGGUAGUCCACGCCGUAAACGAUGUCUACUUGGAGGUUGUGGCCUUGAGCCGUGGCUUUCGGAGCUAACGCGUUAAGUAGACCGCCUGGGGAGUACGGUCGCAAGAUUAAAACUCAAAUGAAUUGACGGGGGCCCGCACAAGCGGUGGAGCAUGUGGUUUAAUUCGAUGCAACGCGAAGAACCUUACCUACUCUUGACAUCCAGAGAACUUUCCAGAGAUGGAUUGGUGCCUUCGGGAACUCUGAGACAGGUGCUGCAUGGCUGUCGUCAGCUCGUGUUGUGAAAUGUUGGGUUAAGUCCCGCAACGAGCGCAACCCUUAUCCUUGUUUGCCAGCGAGUAAUGUCGGGAACUCCAGGGAGACUGCCGGUGAUAAACCGGAGGAAGGUGGGGACGACGUCAAGUCAUCAUGGCCCUUACGAGUAGGGCUACACACGUGCUACAAUGGCGCAUACAGAGGGCGGCCAACUUGCGAAAGUGAGCGAAUCCCAAAAAGUGCGUCGUAGUCCGGAUUGGAGUCUGCAACUCGACUCCAUGAAGUCGGAAUCGCUAGUAAUCGUGGAUCAGAAUGCCACGGUGAAUACGUUCCCGGGCCU